AAGGCUCAAGACUUUGCACGCCUUAGCACUUAGAGUCACAAGGUACUUAAGUGCACGUCUUCACAAGGUCAGAAGGUAAGGUAAUUAAUAUGUGUCUUUAUUAAGUAAGUGGUACAAGAUCUUCACGGACCAGUAAUUCAUGGCAUUUCAUGCAAAGUUGAAAUAGGCAUUACAAGGAGAGAAAAAAAUUUAAGCCAAACUUUCCUAGUUAAAGAAAAAAAAAGAAUAUAGUUUCCCCUUUGCUUCCUAAUAUGUGUCAACCUUACCCUGAGACCUUGUGACUGUAAAAGUGAUAAAGACGUGCGAAUCCUUGAGCAUUGUCAGCAUGAAAUUUAUUCCCAGUAAUCAAACCAUCUUAAGGUGUGGGAGAGUUCUCGCAUUAUAAGGAUUUGUGAAAAAUAAAUUCUCUGUGAAAACAAAGUUGAUGUUAAGAACGGACAGGUUAGGGCAAAGCUGGUUAUCUCCACGGAAAGAAAAGUUUGCAAUACUAUGAGAUCUCUUCAAAGAGUAAUUACUACUUUGAGAAGCCUUUUCUAUAUCUUGGUAGAAAGCUUGUUGGGUAAUGCUUAUAUAUAUAAAUUUAUUUUCUGUUUGCUAUCACCAUAUAUGCUGUUGAUGUACUAAACCUAAUUUCUUGUCCUACUUGUAGGAAUGGUAAUUUUCACUUUGUGGAAUCACCUGCACUUGCACCUCCAGAAGUAUAAAUUAACUUAGUUGCACAAGCACAAUAAGAUCUCUGUUACUUUUGGUAUUUCAUUAUUUCAUGAUUCUGCUAAUAUCGAAGUUUUAUAUGUGCAUUCCCCAGAAUCGAAAAUCGUCAGCAAAGAUAAGAAAACAAAUAUUUAAUAUGUCUAUCAAAGUUAGACAGAUUUGUUGAUAGAUGUUAUGAUUUAACAUCUUAAUAUGUUUAUCAUUGUAGAGGUGACAAUUUUGAUCACGAAUAACCCUUGUAUAUACUAGAGUAGAAAUAAACAUCAGGUUCCUAUUAAGUUGAAAUCAUGCAAGUUAAACAUGUUGCUUGCUUGUCUGUGAUAUUCAAGGUUCCAUUAACUCAUCAUAUUUAUGUAAUCAGGCUAAAGACUGCAUGCGUGUCUAUUAAUUUUGUUUCAGUUGAGAUUUUAGUUCUUAGCUUUAUCUUACUGAAAAAUGCUGGCAGAAAAAAGUGUGAAUUUAUUAUGUCUCUGUCAAUUUAUCCUUAUGAUUUUUCUAUCAAGCCUACCCUUUCUUAAUAAAAGACACAUUAUAUGAAGGACAUAAUAGAUGAAUGGCCCCUUAUCAAUUCACAUGACAUGUGGCUUUCUAAAAUAAAGGAUAAAACUUUUUGGAAAAUCAUGAUAUAUGUGUUGGAUAUGCAUAGGUCUUAUAAAUUGACGAGAUUCAUAUCUUGCGUACCUAUAGUCAUGCCAGAUUGAUGAAUGAAAACAAACAUUUUAAUGCAGGAAUAUUAUAGGAUUAUUUCUGAAUUCUCUUAUUGAUCUUUAAGACCUGUGAUUUUAAAUAAGCGAAGCUCUAAGCUUGCAGGCGACAUGACGCCUAACUGAAAGUAAAAAAUGAUAUUUUUAAAGAAGUUUGCUACUAUUGAUGACCGCUGCAGAAAAGCUGCCCAUUGAUAGUAGUUAUGGUGGAGUCUAAAUACUAUCAUAAAGCUCUGAUGUACGGAUGGGCAUAAAAAAAUUUGCUUGCAGAAGCAAUUUGACAUUGUGGAUAAUUGAAUAACAAUUUUUUUUUUGUAUUAUCUCAUGCCGUGUCUUUUUAACCUAUCAGUUUGUUUAUAUCGUCAUUCAUGCACACUAAAGAUGCAAAAUAUGUUAAUGAACUAAGAAUUUGCCACCAUAUUCUUUUGAUUUUAUUUUGGUCAACAUCAAAACCUUAUGUAUUCUUUCUUAGUGCUAAUUUUGUUUACUUUUGGUGUUUACAGAGCUGUUUUAUUAUUCAUCAAUCAGUGUCCAGGCUGCAAGAAGGAUUCAGUGCAAGCUGAUUUUUCUGAUCCAUUUUUUUAAUCUUUGAAACAUAUCAAAUAAAAUUAAUAAUAAAAGGAGUCAUCAGCCUUUUUAUUCAAUCACUCUUUUACAGUAUGCCAUUACAAUAACUGAUUCUUGCAAUUCUUUAUCUAACUUUGUAUGCUAUCUUUUUUUUUUCAGUUAAUACCCAGAUGUAGAUGCAACUUGUACCGCCAGCUUGUAGCGUUAACAGUUUCACACUGUUUUGUCUUACUAGCAAGCUUAAUAAUAAUGUAGCUUUGUUCUUCA